CCUCCUUCCACUUUCUUUUGUUUUGUGCCGCAAGCACGGAUAGAUUUUACCCCUUUCGUGAAUCGCGAUGCGGGGCUGAUUGUAUCCAGCGUUUCUGUUCCGGACUCCCAUCUACGCGACAGAUACCGUGAAAUCUUAUUCUCGACCAGAGAAAACCUUGGUAGUGCGUGGUUGCGUGCCACCGAAGAUUGGAUAAUUUUCCUCCUAGUAAUGACCAUUGAGAUCUGUUUAGGGUUCAUGCUCAUGUAAGAUUUGGUUUAGGUUGUAAGGUGUUCUGGACAACUGUCCAGAGUCUGUUGAACAAUUGCGAAGUUUUCACCACUAAUUCCUACAUAGUGAGAAGAUAGACGACGGAAGCUAAGGCCCCAAUCUGAUAGCUGUAUUAGCUAUUCUGUAGUUAAAUCGAGAAGAUAUGGUACACAUAUACUCCAUCUGUUCACAAAUACUCCCUCCGUUCCAAAAAUAAGUGUCGUGGUUUUAGUUGUUUUUGGAACAGAGGUAGUAUAAUAAGAUGUUCUAAAAAAAAUCUGAAUCGGAUGUAUAUGGAAUUAUAGACAUGUUCUGGUGUGUUUGUUCAGUCAUUUCAGUCUGUGUAAUCCAUAUUGAAAUAUCCAAAACAUCUUAUAUCUGUGAACAAAUGGAGUAAUAUAGUAGACAUACAAGAAUAUGAAAUCUGUCUUCCUGCUCUUCUUUCCUGCUGAUGACUUGUGGCGGCAAUUUUAUUUUCUUAUGUUGCCUUGUGACCUCCUUCCAUGAGGAGGCCACGGAUUCAAUUCUUGGAAACAACCUCUUGCAGAAAUGUAGGGAAAGAUUGUGUACAAUAGACUCAAAGUGGUCGGACCCUUCCCCGGACCCUGUGCAAGCGGAACUACGUGCACCGGAUUGCUAUACCAUUUUGUGCUUCUAAUGUUUAUCUGCACCAUUCGAGCUAAAACAAUGGGCAGGCGCAACAGCUGCACCAUUUAUGUCGGCAAUCUCCCUGGGGACAUUCGUGAGAGGGAGGUUGAGGAUCUCUUUUACAAGUAUGGCCGUAUUGUCGAUAUUGACUUGAAGAUUCCUCCAAGGCCUCCUGGUUAUGCUUUUGUCGAGUUUGAGGAUCCUCGUGAUGCUGAUGACGCAAUUUAUGGCCGUGAUGGUUAUGACUUUGAUGGCUACAGGCUGCGGGUGGAAUUAGCUCAUGGUGGAAAAGCUCAAUCUUACUCGUACGAUCGCCCAAGCAGCUUUAGCAGUGGACGCCGUGGAGGUGUUUCUAGGCGCUCUGAGUACCGAGUUAUGGUUGAUGGUUUACCUUCGUCAGCGUCAUGGCAAGAUCUCAAGGACCAUAUGCGACGGGCUGGCGAUGUCUGCUUUUCUGAUGUAUACCGCGAGGCUGGAGCAACUGUUGGAAUUGUGGAUUAUACAAACUACGAUGACAUGAAAUAUGCGAUUAGGAAGCUCGAUGGUACAGAGUUCAGAAAUGCAUUUUCAAGGGCAUAUAUCAGGGUGAGGGAGUAUGAUGCUAGAUCAAGAAGCAGGAGCCGUAGCCUCUCUUACUCGAGAAGUCGCAGCUAUAGCAGAUCUGUCUCUCGGUCACCCUUACCUGUGGAUGAAAGAUCUGGCCAUGCGGCGAUCUGGGGACUGCUUCCAUAGAAAAUUGGAUGCGUUGAGAUUUCAACAGGAUGGUUUGGAACUAUGGAUAGUAGAGCUGGAUUAUCAGCACGUAUGGCGAGUGAGCAAGAAGUCCUAGGAGCAAGAUAGUCCUGAUAAUCACUGUCAAGAUCUCGAUCCCCUGUUUCUUCGGUGUCUGGAAAAUCCGUGAGCAGAAGCCCCAGGAGCAGGAGUGUAUCCCGUUC